CGGAACGGGUGAGUAACACGUGGGCAACCUGCCCAAAAGAGGGGGAUAACGACUUGGAAACAGGUGCUAAUACCGCAUAACCAUAGUUACCGCAUGGUAGCUAUGUAAAAGGUGGCUAUGCUACCGCUUUUGGAUGGGCCCGCGGCGCAUUAGCUAGUUGGUGGGGUAAAGGCUUACCAAGGCAAUGAUGCGUAGCCGAACUGAGAGGUUGAUCGGCCACAUUGGGACUGAGACACGGCCCAAACUCCUACGGAAGGCAGCAG
rnacentral:rRNA from 1 species